rnacentral:rRNA from 1 species
UACAUAGGGGGCAAGCGUUGCUCGGAAUUACUGGGCGUAAAGGGCGCGUAGGCGGGAUGGCAAGUCGGUCGUGAAAUCCCUCGGCUCAACUGAGGAUCGUCGAUCGAUACUGCCGUUCUUGAGGAUUGCAGAGGAGACUGGAAUUCCCGGUGUAGCGGUGAAAUGUGUAGAGAUCGGGAGGAACACCGGUGGCGAAGGCGGGUCUCUGGGCAAUUCCUGACGCUGAGGCGCGAAAGCCAGGGGAGCAAACGGG